rnacentral:rRNA from 1 species
GACAGAGGUGCCAAGCGUUAGGCGGAAUCACUGGGCUUAAAGCGUGUGUAGGCGGAUCGUUAAGUACCUUGUGAAAUCCCACGGCUCAACCGUGGAACUGCUGGGUAUACUGGCGAUCUUGAGCCACCUAGGGGCGAGCGGAACAAGCGGUGGAGCGGUGAAAUGCGUAGAUAUCGCUUGGAACGCCAAUGGUGAAAACAGCUCGCUGGGGGUGUGCUGACGCUGAGACACGAAAGCCGGGGGAGCGAACGGG